AAAAAAGACAAAAAAGACAAAAAAGACAAAAAAGACAAAAAAAAACAAAAAAGACAAAAAAGACAAAAAAGACAAAAAAAGACAAAAAAAGACAAAAAAGACACUAAAGACCAAAAUGACGACAAUGACGAAAAAGACUAAACAGACAAAAAUAACCCAUAACUGACCCAUAAAUGACACAAAAAUGACUUAAAUGUGACACAAAAAUGACACAAAAAUAACACAAAAAUUUCACAAAAAUUACACAAAUGACUUAAAAAUUACUCAUAAAUGACACAAAAAUGAAACAAAUAUGACACGAAAAUGUCACAAAAAUGACACGAAAACUUCAGAAAAAUGACACAAAAAUGACACAAAAAUUACACAAAAUGAUACAAAAAUAACACAAAAAAGACACAAAAAUGUUACAAAAAUGACACAAAAAUGAUACAAAAUGAUUUAAAAAUACCACAAAAAUGACACAAAAAUGACACAAAAAUGAAUCGAAAAUUACACAAAAAUGGCACAAAAAUUACAAAAAAAUGACACAAAAUUAACACAAAAAUGACACAAAAUUGAUACAAAAAUGACACAAAAAUGACACAAAAAUUACAUAAAAAUUGCACAAAAUUGACACAAAAAUGACACAAAAAUGACACAAAAGUGACACAAAAAUUACACAAAAUUGACACAAAAAUGACACAAAAAUGUUACAGACAUGACACAAAAAUGGCACAAAAAUGACACGAAAAUGACACAAAAAAGUUACAAAAAUGACACACAAACGACACGAAAUGGCACAAAAAUGACACAAAACUGUCACGAAAAUGACACGAAAAUGACACAAAAUGACACAAAAUGACACAAAAAUGACAUAAAAAUGACACAAAAUUGACACAAGAAUGACACAAAAAUGACACAAAAUGACACAAAAUGACACAAAGAUGACACAAAAAUGACACAAAAAUGACACAAAAAUGACACAAAAAUGACACAAAAAUGACACAAAAAUGACACAAAAAUGACAUAAAAAUUACACAAAAAUGACACAAAAAUGACACAAAAAUGACACAAAAAUGACACAAAAAUGUUACAGACAUGACACAAAAAUGACACAAAAAUAACACGAAAAUGACACAAAAAAGUUACAAAAAUGACACACAAAUGACACAAAAUGGCACAAAAAUGACACAAAACUGUCACGAAAAUGACACAAAAUGACACAAAAAUGACACAAAAAUGGCACAAAAGUGACACAAAAAUGUCACAAGAAUGACACAAAAAUGACAUAAAAAUGACACAAAAUUGACACAAGAAUGACACAAAAAUGACACAAAAUUACACAAAGAUGACACAAAAAUGACACAAAAAUGGCACAAAAAUGGCACAAAAACUGACACCAAAAUGACACCAAAAUGACACCAAAAUGACACCAAAAUGACACCAAAAUGACACAAAAGUGAUAAAAAUGUGACAAAAAUGUGACACAUAAGUGACACAAAAAUGUCAAAAAAUUACACAAAAAGUACACGAAAAUGGCACGAAAUGACGCGCAAAUGACACGAAAAUGACACAAAAAUGUUACAAAAAAUGUUACAAACAUGUUACAAAAAUGUUACAAAAUGACACAAAAAUGACACGAAAACGACGAGAAAACGACACGAAUAUGACACAAAAAUAACACGAAAAUGACACGAAAAGGACACGAAAAUGACACAAAAAUGUCACAAAAAUGACACGAAAAUGACUUAAAUUACAAAAAUGACAAAAAUAAUAUUAAUGACUGUUGGAAACUGGUUGCACUGGAGUUUGGCGGCGACGCUUCAUCGGUGUUGCGGAUUCUUCAGCGUCGCGACAUAUGAGAUUUUGACGUCUCUUCAAGACAUUUCACAUCCGGUUGUAAACUAGAUUAGAAGCUAGAGUUCCUGAAAUUAGAAAGCCUAAAAUUAUUAUUAUCCUUCCACAAAGUUAUACUUACCUUCAUGUUAUACUUACCUUCAAGUUAUACUUACUCCUAGUUAUACUUACCUCCAAGUUGUUGUGCUAAGAUAGCUACUCGUAGCUUAUUUAUCCGGGACUGAACCAGCAAAUAUUCCGCGAGCAGUAUACCAGGUUUGACUCAUACUUACCACAUGUAAACGUAGAGAUUUAUUCGUAAUUCUAAUCUAUAGCCACUGGAAAGUUCGGAUAAAACCGUUAGGAGAAAACCCGUUUCGGUAGUUGAAAAGAACAAGCGAUAUAAGCGCACUAAAUUUGUAAGUGUUAAAUAGUACUUUCUGCUUAAACCUACUUUACUUAAAAUAACCUUAAAAUAAAUUGCAGCUUGAAGCUGUCGUUGACAAGCUAUCUAGAUUGGUGAACCUUUUUUUCAAUACCGGAACAAUCUUCAAGAAAUUUACGGUCGACACCGCGAGAAUGGCAGCUGUUGACAAAAACGCGCCUUCGCCUGCGACAGAUACCGAAGGAACAUCUAGCUGUGUAGCUUGCGAUAAGCCGGACGGCGCUGGGAACCUUGUCCAGUGUGACCAAUGCGACGAUUGGUGGCAUCAAUCUUGCGCUGGUGUCACGGGGUCCAUCAAAAGCAAGCCGUGGACUUGCCGUAAGUGUGUUCCAGCUCCUAGUAUCGCGAGUAGCACCACCACAACCAGUUCACACAAACGCAUUCAACUAAAACUAGAGAAGCUGGCUGAAAAGCGCGCUCUAGAGCAAAAAGCUCUAAAGGUUAAACUGGAUGCAAUCCAUGCCGAACAGCAGAUGGUUGAUGAGAAGUACAAACUUCUCCAAGCAGCUGUCGAAGAUCCGGAAGAAAACGGCAGCCAUCGAAGUCGGGUAACUAAAAGAAGCAGUCUUCAACGAACCGUUGAUUGGCUCGACCAAAUCUCAGAGCCCGAGAACGACGUGUGCGAUGUCAUUGGGCUCGAAUCCGAAAUCAGUCCUACGAUUCCACAACAUCCACCAAAUUCUUUUGCCACUCUUCCACCCGUCCGAGCAGCAGGAAUGCAUUCCGGAACCACGCCCAAACUAAAUCCAACCAACAAAAGCGGAAGGGGAGGACAUUCGAGGAAAUUGAUAUCAACAUCGAAUGCUGACGUGCAACACAUCGAGCAGCUGCAGAAAAAACGCGCCGGUUUAAAACAGCAUCCGAACGCUGGGUUACCAUCUGCCUUUCCUCUCCCGGAGUUCAGAGCAGAUCAACAGGAAAAUUAUUUUGUCCCCAACGUCAUCAUCGAAGACGGAGAAACCGAACAGCCUUCCCCUCCGACCAAGUAUACCUCCAACCAACACCAACAAGGUAAGCCCGUUCCAUCUACUGAUUUGAAUUGCCAACCAAUGUCUCCCAUAACAAAUAUAGACCAUUAUGAGUCCCUGAUAAGCCAAUUUGGACACAUGUCGCCAAGUGAAUCAAAUAUAGCCCAAUUUAUGACUGACUAUAAACCCACUCCCUCUCAACUUGCUGCUCGCCAGACCAUGAAUCGUGACCUCCCUACCUUCACUGGGAACCCGGCAGAAUGGCCUAUGUUUAUAAGCAUUUUCACAACCACAACAUUGGCCUGUGGUUUCAAUAAAGCCGAAAAUCUUUUACGCCUUCAGCGAUGCUUAAAAGGCGCAGCUCUUGACUCGGUCCGGAGUCGCCUUAUGAUGCCGAAUUCCGUUCCGAGUAUUAUUGAUACACUCCGAAGCUUUUAUGGAAGGCCUGAGUUAUUAAUUAACGAUAUGCUAGCCAAAAUUCGUUCUAUUCCCCCACCUAAAAAUGAGAAACUUGAAUCGUUAAUUGAAUUCGGCAUUAUCGUCCAGGGUUUUUGUGAUCACCUCAAAGCUGCGAAUCAAGAGAAUCACCUGUCAAAUCCGUCACUACUUUCUGAAUUAGUACAACGUUUACCUGAUAAUUACAAGAUGCAGUGGGCGGAUUAUAGUGUAGUGAAAAGUGAUGUUGAUUUGCAUGAUUUUGGAGAAUUUAUGAAUAAAUUGAUUACCUCCGCCAGUCGUGUUACCUUGUACACGGGACCAACCGGUAGAUCGGAAGAUCGUAGCAAACCGAAGCGCGGUUUGCUUCAUGCGCACGUGGACGUCCGUCAAACAACUAGCCGAGUUCUGACAUGCGUUGCAUGUGAUGGGGAUCAUCGUCUCAAGGAUUGUGCGGAAUUUGCAUCGUUCAACAUAAACAACCGUUGGCAGCUGGUACUCAAAGAAGGACUUUGCAGGAACUGUCUUAAUUUCCAUGGUCGUCGUUCCUGUCGAGUGCGUGGUCAAUGUGAUGUGAACGGUUGCCAGCAGCGACAUCAUCCUCUUCUACAUUCCCCUCGAACCCCUCCUCCUUCUAGUGAUGCUUCGAAUAAUUUUGUAAACCAUCAUACCGUUACGUCAGCUGAAAAUCACUCACAUCGGAGUUCGACCUCAUCUCAUCUUUUCCGUAUUUUGCCGAUCACGGUGUAUGGAAGCGGAAACCGAAAGCUAGAUACUUAUGCCUUUUUGGAUGAGGGCUCAUCUCUUACACUCAUGGAAGAGGCGUUAGCUCAUGAGCUUGGAAUCCAAGGUGAUCCUCAAGUUCUCUGCUUAAAAUGGACUGGAAACGUGACCCGAACCGAACGCAGUUCACAAAAAAUUGAAUUAAAAAUAUCCGGAAUUAAUCUUGCUAAAUAUCAAUUACAAGAUACCAGAACGGUAAAAGCUUUGACACUUCCGCAACAGUCAUUGCAAUUUGAUUCACUGUCAACAAUGUUCCACCAUCUACAAGGUCUACCAAUCUCAAGCUAUACUCAUGCAGUGCCCCGAAUUUUAAUUGGAGUUAAUAAUAUCCGGUUGACAGUUCCUCUUCGAGUUAAAGAAGGCAAGCUCAACGAACCAGUUGCUACCAAGACACGCCUUGGUUGGUGUGUUUAUGGGGGAACAGUCGAUGUAAUAGAAAAAUCAACAGUGAAUCUUCAUACAUGCGUGUGCAUAACCGAUCGAACACUCCAUGAUACGGUAAAAGAUUACUUCGCAUUAGAAGAUACUGGUAUUGCGGCUUCAAAAAUGUUAGAAUCGGCAGAUGAUAUCAGAGCAAAUAAGAUUCUGGAAGAAUCAACUAUUCGCGUUGGCCAACGUUUUCAGACCGGUCUACUAUGGAAAUACGAUCCUGACCUAAUUGAGUUUCCGGACAGUUUUCCUAUGGCCAUGAAACGAUUCGAAUGUCUCGAAAGAAAGCUGGAAAAAAACCUGAAAAUAAAACAAACAAUUGAACAACAAAUUAAAGAUUAUGUAGCAAAAGGAUACGCUCGUCGAGCUACUACAGAUGAACUUGAAAAUAGCGAUCCUCGGAAAGUAUGGUACUUACCGUUGGGUGUAGUAGUGAAUCCCAAGAAACCGGGAAAAGUACGUAUGGUUUGGGAUGCAUCUGCCAUGGUAAAAGGAGUGUCGUUAAAUACAAUGUUGUUAAAGGGACCUGAUCAGCUCGUUGCAUUACCAAGAGUUCUUUUUCGAUUUCGCCAGUUCGCUAUUGCAGUAACGGGCGAUAUAGCAGAAAUGUAUCACCAGAUUCUUAUCCGCCCCCAAGAUCAACAAUCUCAACGAUUUCUUUGGCGAUCAGUCCCGAACAAAAAUCUAGAAGUUUUCGUUAUGCAGGUAGCGACGUUUGGAUCCACUUGUUCUCCUGCAUCCGCCCAAUACGUCAAAAACCGGAAUGCCAUGGAGUUUUCUGAGAAAUAUCCCCGAGCUGCAGAAGAGAUUAUAGAUGGUCACUAUGUAGAUGACUAUAUGGGAAGCUUCGCCAGUAAAGAAGAAGCCAAAAAAGUUGCUGUUGAAAUACGUGAUGUUCAUGCUCAUGGUGGAUUCAAAAUACGAGACUGGAAGUCAAACUGCCCCGAAGUUAUCGAUGUACUGGAGAAACAAACAAUCAGCAAUCCGUCGUGCAUUGGGAUCAACUCGACAAGUAGCGAGAAGGUGUUAGGCAUGCAAUGGUUCUCCGGAGAAGAUCUCCUAGCCUACAGCACCUCUUUUCAACAAGAUUUGCAGAAGCUUAUCACUAGCAAAAAUAGACCUACAAAGCGUCAAGUUCUCAAAUUUCUGAUGAGUGUGUUUGAUCCUCUGGGGCUUUUAGCAGCGUUCGUGGUGCAAGGGAAAGUGUUGUUGCAAGACAUCUGGCGUGCUGGGACCAAAUGGGAUGAAGAAAUCGACGACCAAGGUUAUGCGAAGUGGAUACGAUGGACUGACCUCUUCAAAGUGAUAGCGGACCUAAGAAUCCCCAGGUGUUAUUAUCCCGGUGCAACAGCUCAACAGUACAAGUAUUUAGAACUCCACGUAUUUGCUGAUGCAAGCGAAGACGCUUAUGCUGCAGUUGCCUUCUUCCGUAUUCCUGUUUCCGACGAAUCUUUCCAGUGCUCCUUGGUUGCGGCUAAGACAAAAGUAGCCCCUCUGAAACACUGCUCCAUCCCUCGUUUAGAACUGCAGGCCGCCGUUCUCGCAACACGUUUAGCAACAUUCAUCAAAGAGGGGCAUACUUUGACAAUACACAAAACAGUCUUCUGGUCAGAUUCAAGCACAGUUUUGGCAUGGAUACGCUCCGAUCAUCGGCGUUAUAAACAGUUUGUUGCCUGUCGUGUUUCUGAGGUCUUAACAACAACUACGAUCUCUGACUGGCGGUGGAUAUCGACGAAACUAAACGUAGCAGAUCUAGCGACAAAAUGGGGUCAAGGAGGCCAACUGAAUACAAACAGCUCAUGGUUUCAGGGUCCCGAGUUCUUGAAAUUAGGUGAAAAGUAUUGGCCUAGACCAAAAUCAAUCUUAGCUACCAACGAAGAGAUGAAACUUUGUGGAAUACAUCAUGGUAUUACUGUUCCGGUACCGGUGAUUGACCCUUCACGUUUUUCACGGUGGACUAGGAUGGUAAGAGUGACGGCGUACGUUUUACGGUACUUUAACAACGUUCAAAAGAAAAGAUCAAAGCUGGAUAGUUCUUAUCUCACUCAAGAUGAAUUGCAGGAGGCUGAAAAUUACCUUUUUCGCAUUUCACAAUGGGAGGCUUUUCCAGAAGAUAUGUCAGUACUGCUGUCGACUACCAAUGUUGGUGUAGAAAAGAACAGUCCUUUGUACAAGUUAUCCCCUUACUUAGAUGAGCACGGAGUGCUCAGAGUGGACGGUCGAAUAGGAGCGGCUAGGAACGUUGAAGAGAGAACCAAGUUUCCAGUAAUCCUGUGCAAGCAACAUCGGGUUACCGAUCUCCUGAUCGAUUACUAUCAUAGUAAAUAUCAUCACGCAAACUUUGAAACUGUAGUGAACGAAAUAAGACAAUUUUUCUACAUCCCUCAAAUACGAUCGCGAGCCAAGAAAAUCGUAAAACAUUGUCAAUGGUGCAAAGUGUACAAAGCACGCCCUCAAGUUCCCAGAAUGGCACCGCUUCCUGAAGCAAGAUUAGCAUCAUUUACCCGACCCUUUAGCUAUGUUGGGCUAGAUCUUUUCGGACCGGUUUCUGUUAAAGUUGGUAGAAGCGCAGUGAAGCGAUGGGUAGCCUUGUUCACGUGCUUAACCAUACGCGCAGUACAUGUGGAGGUUGUGUACGGUCUGGACACUCAAUCGUGCAUCAUGAGUAUCCGUCGGUUUGUCGCUCGUCGUGGCUCUCCGCUAGAAUUUCAUUCAGAUAACGGCACAAACUUUCGAGGUGCAGAUAACAUACUACAGAAUCAGAUACGUAACAUUCAAGAAGGACUGGCGUCAACGUUCACAAAUACCGUAACGAAGUGGAUUUUUAUUCCUCCUGGAACCCCGCACAUGGGAGGCUCCUGGGAGCGUAUGGUGCGCUCGGUAAAAACAGCGAUGUACUCAAGUAUUGAAGCCGGACGGAAGUUGACCGACGAAGCUCUAUUGACCCUGCUGGUUGAAGCCGAAAGCAUAGUAAACUCAAGACCACUGACGUAUCUUCCGUUGGAGGCUCCAGAGAGUGAAGCUCUUACUCCAAAUCACCUUUUGCUUGGUAGCUCUAGCGGCAUAAAACAACCUGGAAUAGAACCGGUGGAUGAAAGAUUGGCGCUCAAGAACUCCUGGUAUCAAAUUCAACAUCAAGCUGAUAUCUUCUGGCGUCGUUGGACUCGUGAAUAUCUUCCGGAACUGACUCGCCGAACAAAAUGGCUGGGAGAAUCGCGUCCAGUUAUUGAAGGAGAUUUGGUCAUAAUCGUAGACGAUGGAAAAAGAAAUGGUUGGAUACGGGGUAAAGUCAUAAAGGUCAUAUCCGGGCAAGACGGGCGAGUUAGAAGGGCUUUGAUUCAUACUCAUAAAGGGAUCUCUAAACAAUCAGUCUCAAAGUUGGCAAUUCUAGAUGUGGCUCCAGAGAGUAACACAGGAUCUGCUUGACCUGUGUUACGGGGGGGAGGCUGUUGGAAACUGGUUGCACUGGAGUUUGGCGGCGACGCUUCAUCGGUGUUGCGGAUUCUUCAGCGUCGCGACAUAUGAGAUUUUGACGUCUCUUCAAGACAUUUCACAUCCGGUUGUAAACUAGAUUAGAAGCUAGAGUUCCUGAAAUUAGAAAGCCUAAAAUUAUUAUUAUCCUUCCACAAAGUUAUACUUACCUUCAUGUUAUACUUACCUUCAAGUUAUACUUACUCCUAGUUAUACUUACCUCCAAGUUGUUGUGCUAAGAUAGCUACUCGUAGCUUAUUUAUCCGGGACUGAACCAGCAAAUAUUCCGCGAGCAGUAUACCAGCCACUGGAAAGUUCGGAUAAAACCGUUAGGAGAAAACCCGUUUCGGUAGUUGAAAAGAACAAGCGAUAUAAGCGCACUAAAUUUGUAAGUGUUAAAUAGUACUUUCUGCUUAAACCUACUUUACUUAAAAUAACCUUAAAAUAAAUUGCAGCUUGAAGCUGUCGUUGACAAGCUAUCUAGAUUGGUGAACCUUUUUUUCAAUACCGGAACAAUGACACAAAAAUUAAACCAUUCAAAGUUGGCAUAAGACUGUCAUAUAUGACUUACAGAAUGACAAAGCAAUUACUCAAAAAUUACAAAACAGCUACCCAAAAAAAGCACAAAAAUGACAAAUAAGUGGUACAAAGAUGACACAUAAGUUGAAAAAAAAACUCAGAAAAAUGACACAGAAGUGACAAUAAAAAUUACCAUUAAGUAAUACAAAAAUUUCACAGAACUAACUAAAAAUUGCACAAAAAUUCACCUGAAUUUUCUUCAAAAGCCUCGAAAAUGACACAAAAAUUAUUUUAAAAUAACUUUACUGCCGUUCUACGCAAGAAUGUCCCAUGUGACUUUUGGGUCAUUUUCACUUUUUUGCUAGGAACUGCUUAUUAUGGUGUUAUCUUUCGAAUACAAACACAAAAAAGUAUACUUUGUUCUGAACAUCUACGAAAUUUUCAUCUAGGUGGUUGUCUCUAUGUUGAUGUUUCUACGCAAGAAUGUCCCACUGAGAAAAACUCUUCAAAAACCACUCGACUGUAACAGAAUUCCUCAAAAAUUGCUUUAGUGACACAUUGUACUGUAAUGUUGAACGUUAAAUGUAUUUUUUUAUGAAUGAAGGUCACAGGGAUGGACAAGGGAGAGGGGGUCACUUCAGUGAAAGCUUUUUCUCCACUUCCGGUUCAGAUCCAUAAUUUUGUCUUAUUUUUGGUUCCUCAUAAUAAGCAUAUUUUCGGAUACUUGUAGUAUUUUUUGGCCUACGUUAUCGAAGCUCCAGAAUGUGUUUUUCAAAUGAGCUCGAUCAUCCCAGCUAACAUGGUUAUGGCAAUGCUUCCAGCAUCCACAGGAAAACAAUUAAUCGAUGCGCAAUAAUGCGCUUCCGCGAAGAAUCUUCCUUGAUUAUUUCAUUCAUAGUUCUAAAAAAAAGUUUAAAAAAAACUUAAAUCGGAUUCAUUCGGAUCAUCCUUAAACUUAGAAAAAAACAUCUUAAGAACCGUUCUGAUCCAAUUCUGAUUUCGGUGUCAUUGAAUCCGAGGAAAUCGUAAUUACUGUCUGUCACUGUUCUCUAAACUUGACUCCAAACCGUAAACCUUCAGCAUCGAUAAUGCACUCAUCUUAUCUAUAGUUUUGAACGCUCAAUUAUGAUUUUUUCCGAAACACUUUAAAAUCCUUCCCGUUUCCGCACAAUAACAUAGAAGAAAAAAGAGCUCGUGUGACAGUUUUUCCAUAGAAACAAAAAAACACACGCUCAUAUUCUACGCAAAAGUGUCACACGAGGCGAUUUUUGACGAGUAUCUUCUGCUUUGAGGAAAAAAAUCAAAAAGUAAGUAUAGAUUCCAAUGUAAAUUGACCAACAACAAAAACAAUAUGCAUGAAAGGUGCGGAAGAGCCAUAAAUUUAACGAAAAUCCGAAAAACAGAUCUAAAUUUCAAUCGCGUUUUUCUCGCUUGCUCGUUUUUCCACAUGGGACAAUCUUGCUUAGAAGGGCAGUUUAGUUUAACAAAAAAUUAAACAAAAAUUUCACAAAGAUUACCAAAAAAAUGACACAUAAUCGACAAAAAACAGCACAAAAAUACCAAAUAAGAAACAUCAAUCUACAAGAAAACGGGUUAAAAAUGAAAGUUCUUGACAGUGCUGUCAGUCAAUCUGGCUUAAUUUGACUCACAAUAUCUAGAGCAACUUAAUCUGCAUUUUUUUUAAAUCUUUUUCCAAUUUUUCUAGUAUUAUGAUGACUGAAAAAACUCACCAUUACCCAUUCGUUAAAGUGUAACGAUUAAUCGGUACGGCACAAUUAACUUUUGCCUAUCGGAGUCUUUUUUUUUUCAUUUCUGUUUUCCAAAACCAAAAAAAGAACACGCGUGAGCGGUGUUAAUUUUUCCGCCAUUAAUUUUCGUUGUUACUACGCUGCUGAGUUGUAUUACAUUCGGGGCUGUGCUGUCGAUUUCCCCGUUUAACGUUUUUUAAUGCGAAGGUUAAACCGACUCUGUGAAUGUACCCAUGGUUGUUAUUUUUUCGUUCGCUCUGCUAACAGCGCAAAAACCUUAUGUUAUCACCGGUUCAAUUGGUGUUGGGCCUGCCGCCAUCGCAUUGUUUGUGGUAAUUUGAACAGAUUUUGUUGCGUUUAUUCGCUUUUUUCUGUCUUCAGUGAUUUGCUGCUUCGGUACUUUUGUACGAAAGAAUGGAACCUGUCUAGCGGCAUGAAUCGACCUUAUGUGCGUGUUGUUUUUUUCUCAUUUUCUCUUUGGAACGAUUUUAUUUACCAGUAGUUUAAUCAACCAAAAUAAGCGGCUAUCGAUGGGUUGAUGUUAACUAUUUUCUGAAGGAAAUUCGGUUUCCGCUGUUGAAAAACUUCCAAAGGACUCGGAAAACCUUUUUGGAAUGAGUUUCUGAAAAUCGAAAGUUCGAAUAGUAAAACCUUUAUCAACAUCGAACACAGGCCUUCAGGGAAGGCUGAAUCAUAAGAUCGAAACGUCGAGUCAAUUCAGCCCUUGAUACUUUUUGUACUCGAAAUUAAAAGCUUGGUUUUAAACUCUUAUCAGAAUUUUUGUUUCGAUUUUUUAUUCCAAUUAAUGCCUCUAACUUACAGUAGUGUUUACUGAGUUUUCUCAAUUUUUCAUUGGAAAAAAGGCGUCACCUGAUUUGACACAAAUGACAAAAACAAAUUCUCCGAAAUGGGAUCAUAAUAUGGAAUUCAACUCGAGCUCUCUCUUUGCUUUUUUACAUUUCUUACCUCCCUUUUUAUUCUUUAGUAUCAAAUCCAGAAAUCGAAACUACCAUUCCAUUCACUUCAAAUGCAGAAAAAAAUUCCGGAAAUGAUUUUUAAAUCGAUUUCCGGCUGCUCGAUACCAUUUUUAGCUUUCCAAGCUUUUAUUUUCCAAUCGAUUGAACUCUUCCGCUUUACGAGGAAGUCUGUGUUUGAUGGGUUAAAAUAGAUAUCCCUGAUUAUGAAUAAACCGAACACAGAAGGAGCAUUAAAUUUACUACCAACAAAAAUCUCAAUCGAUUAUUAUCAAAGCAUCACGUUUUUCCAUAAGAGAAAAGAACAGGAAUUUUUUCCUGUAGCGAUAGAAACAUCAGCAUCAGGAGAAUUCCAAAAACAAUUAAAUAUAACUUUUAUUUUGUUUCGAUUAAAGUCGUUUUACAAUCAAAUAAAUAUAAAUAUAACGAGAACCCAGA